UUGCCUUCAUAGGGAUCUCUAGCUCAUAUUAGACCCCUCCCAUCUUUGCAGCUAUUCGUUUGGCUUAACGAGAACCUACAUUUAACCGGACGGGUGUGGUAGUGGUUGGAAGUCGGAACACCUUAAAGGUGUACUGGAGCAGAGAUUUUUUUUUGGACCAAUGACGUUAGCCUUUGAUUGUAAAACUUAGAAACAGCAGAGUUCUCGGAAAUUAACGAUGUCUCAUCUCAGGAGAUCAUUGGCCUUUGCUUGGAAAACUUUUCCUGGCAUGCACGUGCGAAACUUUCGAGUUGGACAGGUUACCUUAAGUGCUGUAAAUCUGAAGGGUCGCAGUUUCUUAACACUGAAGGAUUUCACCUCGGAGGAGAUAAAGUAUCUUCUGUGGAUGUCAGCUGACCUGAAACACAAAAUUAAAGAGAAAGGACAGCAUCUCCCUUUGCUUCAGGGGAAGUCUCUUGCCAUGAUUUAUGAAAAGAGAAGCACCAGGACCCGCAUGUCCACAGAAGCAGGCUUUGCACUGCUGGGAGGGCAUCCCUGCUUCCUCACCUCACAAGAUAUUCACCUUGGCACCAAUGAGAGCACCACUGACACAGCCAGGUAAG